UCUCUCAUUCGGUCCCUCUCUACAUCUACUUCUCUCUCUUUCCUCUGCUUCUUCUUCUUCGUCUUCCGUCUUCUGUAUCUGGUUCUACCUCGUUCUCGGCUUCGUCCCCUUUACUGUGUGAUUCUUGGUUUCGUGGCCUAUCUCCCCCUCUUUCCUUAUUCGUUCGCUGUCCCUCGGUUUGUUCUGUUAUUUUCUAGCUGGUUCUUAGCUCUGUUUUUCCCAGCCUCACCGUUUUCUUUUUUUGUUUUUCCUUCCGUUCAGCCUCUCUGGUUUUUUGCUUUUUUCCGGGGUUUCCUCUUUUGUUCUCUGUUUUCAUCCCCC
rnacentral:lncRNA from 1 species